UACGAAGGGGGCUAGCGUUGCUCGGAAUCACUGGGCGUAAAGGGCGCGUAGGCGGCCAUUCAAGUCGGAGGUGAAAGCCCAGGGCUCCACCCCUGGAAUUGCCUUCGAUACUGUUUGGCUAGAGACCGGAAGAGGUAAGUGGAACUGCGAGUGUAGAGGUGAAAUUCGUAGAUAUUCGCAAGAACACCAGUGGCGAAGGCGGCUUACUGGUCCGGUUCUGACGCUGAGGCGCGAAAGCGUGGGGAGCAAACAGGG
rnacentral:rRNA from 1 species